ensembl:lncRNA
GUCACCAGAGAUGCAGGGGGAGCUGGUGGGUGUCGGGAGAGUUGGGGUUGGGGGAGGUCGCCACGGUCGGACACUCAGCCCCCGACUCACGCAGGACCCCCGGAUUGGGGCGGCCGCCGUCAGGCUCCAGCCCACUGCCCUCGCAGGGCGGGCCACCUGGAGGCGGGCCACCUGGAGGCGGGAGGAGUCGACAGCGAUCAUAGUGAAAAUUCUCUCAAACCCGGCUCCCUCCUCCUUCGAAUCCGAGCCCUGGGAAGGGGCUCCGAGGCGCCUUCGGACUCCCCAGGCAGCGGAAACCCCAAGACAGAGACCUCGGUGACCCAGACCCCCUUCUCCAAGCCGAGAAUCCCUCUGCACCACAGCUGGCGCAGGAGUGAGGAGUUGUCGAAGGAGGCGCCGGGUUUCCUCGUAGAUGGGCGUGUUAUAUACAAGGGUUUUUCCUCCGAUCGCAACCGCAAUACGACCAGCUUUCGGGACUGAGCACCCGCUCAAUCUCCCGGUACUGGAGUCGGGGUUGUUGUGAAGACUAAAUGAAAUAAUGUAUUUGAAAGUUCCUGAUGUACAGGAAGUGCUCAAUAUUGAAGGCGAGGUUGGAUCAGGCACAGACCUGAGGGAUGGGGUCUGGGAAACCUGCAAUUUCUUUAUAUCAUUUCGUCUGCUUUGGACCCUACCUUUCAAAGAUGACUGUCGUUAUGAUUGGCUGUUAAUAUCUUUUCAGCUAACGGUCUCCCACCACCAGCCUCUAUGAGUGAAUGGCACCUGAAUUAUUUACUUUUUGGAACUCCUCGUUGGGGUGUGUGGUCACAAUUUGGAAUCCUAGAGUAAAUAAAUUCAAUACUCUUGAAGUAGCAGCAGGAAAUGCUUCUCCAAGCAAGAACAUGGCUCACAGGGCUGCGGCAUGUGAGCUCUUGCAAGAGUAUCAGAAGUCUGCAGGUGGACCUCACACCCUGCCUCAACAGCCCACCAGUGGAGCUCGGAAGAAGAGGAUGAUUGCUCCCGACACUGCUGGCAUAACAGAGGCUAUUUAGAAAGCACUUUCUAUGUUCCCAACAGUCUAAGCACUUUUCAUCCAUCUUCUCACUCUCACAACACAGUACCAGCCUGUAAUAAGUGGAUAUUUCUCCAGGGUCACAUUGUUCUGGGAAUGUGUAAGUAAACAAGCUAGGAGGCAAGGACAUUUGAUGAACUGACCAAUGAGACAAGACUUGACCGUGAGUUCCUUGAGGAUAGCUUCCUCAUCCGAUUCAGUUUUAUCUCUGCAGACAGAGGCAUGGGAAGAGUCACAGGACAGUUCCUGGGCAGUGGUUACACAGGCCCAAGGUUGAAGGGAACAAGAGGGACUUCAGGAGGCAGCUCAGGCUGCCAGUUGAGCCCAAGUCCUUGGUCCUUCUCAAAGGAAGAUUGCGUUUUCUCCAAGAUGAGCAAGGGACUAUACAGUUUUUCCAUCUGGACUGUUUUGCUGUCAAACUGUCAAGGCUGUGAGACUCCCCAAGACUACCUAGGCAUGUCCCCUCUUUGAUGGAAUCCACCUCAAGUAUUUUCAGGGUCCCCACGAUGCUUACGAUUGGUGCUACUCAAUCUUCAUUUUCCUGGAGAUGACUCUUCAGAGUCCUUUGAAAUCAAAGAACUCACAUGGGGGCUGGAAUGACUCAGGGAAGACAGGAGGUAAGCGUCUGUCCACAAUGAUGGGGUUUUCCAGCCAGGAGGUGCAACAGGUAGACCCUGUUCUACAACCUCACCUCUAGUUACAGUGGAUAAACGCGUUUAUAGAUCUGAGUCCCUUCUUAAAGAUAAGGGGUUUUUUUGGUAAUGAUUUUGCAUUUUCCCUUCUCAAAAUGGGAACUUAUGUUAUUUUGAAAUCCUUUGCCCGUUAAAAAAAAUUUUUGACAGAAAAAUAUGCAUAAAUAAAAUAUGUCAUGUAGGAAAGAUUGCAUUCCUAAUGUGCCUUUCUAUAAACUUAUUCCUUUCAAAAAGAUAAACUGUGACUUUAUGUAACAACAAAAAAUUGGCAAUGAUGUUCUUAGGCAUUUUUGUGAGAUAUGUAUAUUUUAAGGAUGUUAGCUCUUUGGCUGCCAUAUUACAUGUAUCAGUCUCCCCAACCAUAGUCUGCAAGGUGUACAGUAUAAGCACCGUAAAGGCAUGUACUUUUGGUCUACCCUCUGUGCCUAAUAAACAGCAUGGUGGGCAUGAAGUGUUCAACAAAUGAAUAUAAACCAGAAACUCUACAAGGCAGACCACCCUACAUUUUGCAACCUAUCUGAUAACACUAAUCUUAUUUCACAAGGUUUAUUUUCAUAAGCUAAGUAAAAAUAUUUGUAUUGAAAAUCAAUCAUAAACACCCUCUCUCAUCUCCAGAUAGCAGACAAUAUUCUAGAACAUAGAUCUAUGUCUCCUGAUUCCUAGCAGAGCCCUGACUGCUUUGGGAUUGAAAGAGAAUGUCUGCAGAGAGUAUCUAAGUCAUUUCUUAAAAUAUUCAGCUGAGAGAGAGUCCCUCUCAGGAGAGAGAGAGAAAGUCUCCCUCUAGACGGAAGCUUAGCUGGUUACACCUGUGGAGCUGGACUGUGGCAUGUCAAGACCCAAGUCCACUUACUGUGUCACCUUGGACAAGUUGUUAACUUCCCUAAUCCUCAGUGCCCUCCUCUGUGAAAAUCCUUUGUAAAAAAAUAGAUGCCCACCUUAAAAGAGUGUCUAGAACAUGUGUUCAAUAAAUUUUAGAUGUUAUUGUUUUUAUUGUUAUCACUAUGAUUAUGAUACCAGCCAACUCAUGUAAACAGCCAGUCCAGUUUCUGGAGAUUGCAGUAUCACUCCUCAGACUCAUCCAGUUUCUUCCCAAUUGAGUCUACACCUUUGCUUCUCCCUUCUGUAAAACACUGGGAUAAUCAUGGUAAUUAAAAAUUCCUUUGUGUUUAUAAGGCAUGAUCACAUCCAUUUUCCCGUUUGAUCCCCACAAUAACUCUGUUGAAGAAAGUGAGAAAGACUUUGUUAUCUCCAUUUUACAGGUUAGGAAAUGAAGGCAAAGAGAGGGUAAGUAACUUUCCCAAACUUACAAAAAACAGAAUGGAAUUUGAAGGAAUAUCUUUCUCACCGUGUCUCCAGGCUAAGUAGAAAGAGCUUUGGCAAAAUGAGUUGGAACUCCUAGUUGGAGUUCUCAGCUGCCAUGUUCCCUGGUCAACACUUCUGGUCAAGUUGUGCUGCCAUCACUGGGAGCAGCAGAUUGGGGAGCAUUUCUCUUACACUUCCUGGGAUUCUGGAUCCACAGUUGCUCCCUUACCUCUGAAGCCUAAGCAUCUGGUAUCAGCUUCUUAGCAAGCCCAUGGUUUACCAACAAGUGUUACUAGGAGGCAACUGACUGGGGUAAGUCACACUGUCUCUACACAUGCAAAUCCUUCCAACGAACAUCUUUAUCUGCUUUAAAUAUCAUCAACACGCUCACUGAAGGCAGCUUUGAAAAGAAAGUGAAGUCACAAGAAGGCAUCAGGCUGGCUGGAGUAGAUAGAUAAACGUUGAGGGUGGAGAGAUGCUUCUGUUCUGUGAUUGGUCAAAGUAGCUCCAGCUUCCAGGUGGCCAGGCCUGAUGCCUGGGUACUGAGGCAAGGGAUCUGAGCACUUUGCAUCCCUUUGUAUUGUGGGACCAUCCCCUUCUAUUCUAGUCCACAAAGUGGGGAAGGGCUGUCCCAAAGUACCUGGCCCAGGGCAAAUGUAAUGACCUAGAAUCAUGGAACCAACUCUGGCUGUACAACAUAAUCCUAUAGGAAGUUUUUAAUCAAUACUGAUGCCCACACCAAUUAAAUCAGAAUCUUGGAGCCUGAGAUCCAGACAUCAGUAUUUUUUUUAUAGUUGCAUUGAUAUACAUUGUAUUGUAUAUGUUGUAUAAUUGAUAUACAACAAGCUGCACAAAUUUCAUAAUUUGAUGAGUUUUGAUGUAAGUAUACAUCCCAACCCACCACCACAAUCAAGAUAACGAACACAGACAUCAGCC